GCGACUCGGACCUGGGCACAGGCCCAGGGCGGUGCGGCUGAGGGGCUGCCCCGGCCUGGGCCCGGCCUCUCUCCUCCUGCCCGAGGCUAGCUGCGCUGCGAGAGCCGGGGGGCGGCCGCGGCGGGCGGGGCGGCGCCGCGGAGGGCUGGACCCCCGACCCCGGCUCCCGGAGCCCGCCAGCCCGGCCAAGAUCCCUGCCCGCUAGCGGGGCGGCCGCUCCCUGCGACCUGGGCCACUCUCCUUCUGACGCGCCUCCCGGGCAGGGGGCUUCGGGAGGGGCCGAGGUCGCCCACUAGGGGGACCCGAUCUGCCGACGUGGCUGUGUUGCCCCAGCGGACUGCGAGCGCCUCUGGAGCCGGUACCGCGUCCUCAGCACUUAGAUCCGGCACGUAGUGGGGCCUAGUAAAAGGCUAAGUCAGAGAAGGCAGAGUUGGCCUGGGCCUGGCGCUUAGUAGUUACGCGCUAACCUUUCGGUCAUUGCUGGAUAUAAGGACAUUCACGCCGGCUUGGAGGCUUUUUAUUCAAAAGGAGCAUAAUUUUGGAGAGAAAGCAAAUAAGCAGAGUGAAAAUUAAAGGAAGAAGAAAUGUGUGCCUUAACCCAGAAUCUUAACUGACAACACAUGCAUGCUCCUGAACCUCUGAAACAAAAGUCCUUUGUGAGAGUAUGAAAGACAGAAAAAGCCCAGAGAGCUAAGAGAAGCUAAGAGAUG